GCCAAAAAUAACAGCACUUUGAAGAUACUUUUCAUUUCUAACUUAACCAACUUUACCAUUCAAAUUUUAAUUGGGAAAGUACCUCUUUACCUUUAACUAAUUAAAUCUAAAACUACUUUUUUUCCUACGAUUUCUUCAGAUCUCAGAUCCAAAAAAUUGAAUAUAUCCAAUGAUCAAAGCCGACGAGAUUGGCCAAUUCUGAGGAGUACUCCGGCGAGAUUCGACGACGAUAGCGAGUUCUCCGGCAAGAUUUAACGACGUUGACGAAUUCUCUGGCUAGUUCUCCGGCGAGAUUUGACGAGGACUACAACCUCAAAUGGUUUUCCGAAUCUAUCACCAUCGUUGAUCAAUCCGUUCAUGAGCUAUGCAGUUUAGUAUCAGACUCCGUUCUGGACCUCUCCCGCGGUUUGCUCGAGCUCCAAUCUGCACUCGAAGGGUUUUUGAUUCUUAUCGGUUACGAACAGAAACAUGGGGAUUGGAAGUUCAAUUCGACCGAGAAUCAUCCGUUUGUGAGGAUUCUUUCAUGCAGAGUGGAGACAUAGGCAGAGCUUCUUCACCAAGUAUCACUCUUUGUGAUGCGUACUCAGCGAUUGGGGAUAGUAGGAGUAUGUGAAUUUUCUGGAACCGUUCGUGAAUUUUGUAAUAUUACGUAUCCCAUUUGCAGAUUCAUCCCCGUCUUUGUUUGUGAGGGAGUUAGUGUCAUCAAUGGCUUUCCUUGUUGCUCAUGCCGUCAUGAAGCACUGCCUGCAUUCAGAUUGCUUAUGCGGUGUCUUAAGUAAAUCCCAGGGAAGAACUCAGAAGACAAUAGAAAUUUCAGCUGCAUUGUCAAGACACUAGUGGAUGCUUUCAUUGUGGUUGCGAGAGACUUGGUUGGAACUAGAUUGGAAGUAAUAGAAAUGCAUGUGUUUGGUGUUCAACUGGUAGAUACCGUGCUUUUGCUUUUUCACCAAAAGUAAACAUGAUCCUGCUAAACAUUUCUUUGUCUAACUAUGGAGUUUGAAUAUUUUGCUGGGCUAGCUGUGUGGUGUUGAACAAAUGCAAGAAUAUAGUUGAAGUUGUUUCUAUGUUGGUCACUAUCCUUCAGUACCAAGCUUAUCUAUAAGAAACCGUACUCUAAGAAACUACAUUACUGAUGAUGCUUAUCACUGGAAAGAGAAUUUGUAGUUUGCUUGGUCCGUCCACGAACUGGGUGUGUCCGGUUUAGUCCUAGUUUAACAAUGUGCCUUAUGUAGCUGUCAAACUCAAGGUUUAGACCUAUUCAUAGUGCCGGUUAUGCACUGGAACAUGUGGCCUUGGAAUAUUUAGUAGUUAUUGUAUUCAUAUGCUUCUUUAUGAAAGAGUUUUUUGGUGCCUAA